CCGCCGCCGGCGAAACUCCGCCCCUAGCUCGGCUCCCGGGGCCUGUCCCCGCCCAUGGCACUCGCCCGUGGCACUCGCCCCGCCCGUUCAGCGGAGGCUGACCUUCCGGCUGGACGCGCAGGUUGUGGUGGUCCCUUGGGAGGAAAGGCGGGAGUGGAUAUUUGGGGUUCCUUGCGGGCGCCAAGUGGAUCAUGGAAAUGCUGGAGUUCCGGUGGCUGAGCACAUUCUGGGGAAAACGAAGAACCGUAUUGACAGAAGUCACAGAAGAGUCGGAUCGAUGGGAGGAAAAAAAACAUGGAAAUUGUGUGACGUCUCUUUUUAAAUAUGCCUGCGAGGACGCAGUGAGAAGGCGCUGUGUGUAAGGCAGGAAGCAGCUUCUCAACAGACUCUGAACCUGCCCUGCGUGGAUGUGGGACUUCCAGCGUCCAGAACUGUGAGCAAGCUACGUGUGGCGUUUGUGACCCACCCAGUCGCUGGAGGCGAUGGUUCGUAAUAAAUGUCCCCUAGAUGGGAUGGAAGGGUGCAAAGGAUGACCAAUCCUGGGUGUGUCUGUGACACGGUUGCCACAGGAGAUGAACAUUUGAGUCUGGGGGCUGGGAAAGUCAGAACCACCCUCAAUCUGGGUGGGCACCAUCUCAUCGGCAGCCAGCUUGGCUACAGUAUAAGCAGGUAGAAAAUAUACAGAGGAGACUGGCCUCGCCUCCCAGCCUCCAUCUUCCUCCCAUGCUGGAGGGUCCCGGCCCUCAGACAUCAGACUCCAGAUUCUUCAGUUUGGAGAUGUGGGCUUGCUGUCCUUGCUCCUCAGCCUGCAGAUGGCCUAUUAUGGGACCUUGUGAUUGUGUAAAUUAAUUCUUAAUGAACUCCCCUUCCUCCCUUUCUCUGCUUUCUUUCUCCUCUUCCUUUCUUCUUUCUUUCUUUCUUUCUUUCUUUUUCUUUCUUUCUUUCUUCUCUCUCUCUCUUUCUUUCUCUUUCUCUUUCUUUCCCUUCUUUUCUUCCUUCCUUUCUUUCUUUUUCUCUUUCCCUUCCUUCCUUCCUUCCCUCCCUCACUCCCUCUCUUUUCUCUCCUUCCUUCCUUCCUUCUUUCUUUCUUUCUUUCUUUCUUUCUUUCUUUCUUUCUUUCUCUCUUUCUCUUUCCCUCCUUCCCUCCCUCCCUCCCUCCUUCCUUUCUUUCUUUCUUUCUCUCUUUCUCUUUCCCU